AUAAAAGCGAGGACAGGGACAAGUAAUUUAAUGCGAUCAGCAUGCACAGAGAGCCGGGGGUGCUGGAAACCGGUGAUGCCGCAUUAAAUGAACUCACCCUGGAGCGCCAGUUUGAAAGGAAUCCUAGUAAAACUGGUCGAGUGCAUGGCACUUGUUAUCAAAACCGGCAGCUGAGCUGUCACGAGUGCACGCAUCAUGCGUGAAUAAGGGUGGUACCGUGGAAAAAGGAGAUAAAGCCUAUUCCAUCCCUUUG
rnacentral:ncRNA from 1 species